GGAAUAUUGGACAAUGGAGGCAACUCUGAUCCAGCCAUGCCGCGUGAAGGAAUAAGGCCCUAUGGGUUGUAAACUUCUUUUAGACGGGACAAAACCCCUUUACGUGUAAAGGGUUGAUGGUACUGUCAGAAUAAGCAUCGGCUAACUUCGUGCCAGCAGCCGCGGUAAUACGAAGGAUGCAAGCGUUAUCCGGAAUUAUUGGGUUUAAAGGGUGCGUAGGCGGACUAAUAAGUCAGUGGUGGAAGCCUGCAGCUUAACUGCAGAAUUGCCAUUGAUACUGUUAGCCUUGAGUACAGUUGAGGUAGGCGGAAUGUGUCAUGUAGCGGUGAAGUGCUUAGAUAUGACACAGAACACCGAUUGCGAAGGCAGCUUGCUAAGCUGUAACUGACGCUGAGGCACGAAAGCGUGGGGAGCAAACA
rnacentral:rRNA from 1 species